rnacentral:rRNA from 1 species
AGGAUAGGCGAAGCGUGCGAUUGGAUUGCACGUCUAAGCAGUAAGGCUGAGUAUUAGGCAAAUCCGGUACUCGUUAAGGCUGAGCUGUGAUGGGGAGAAGACAUUGUGUCUUCGAGUCGUUGAUUUCACACUGCCGAGAAAAGCCUCUAGAUAGAAAAUAGGUGCCCGUACCGCAAACCGACACAGGUAGUCAAGAUGAGAAUUCUAAGGUGAGCGAGCGAACUCUCGUUAAGGAACUCGGCAAAAUGACCCCGUAACUUCGGGAGAAGGGGUGCUCUUUAGGGUUAACGCCCAGAAGAGCCGCAGUGAAUAGGCCCAAGCGACUGUUUAUCAAAAACACAGGUCUCUGCUAAACCGUAAGGUGAUGUAUAGGGGCUGACGCCUGCCCGGUGCUGGAAGGUUAAGAGGAGUGGUUAGCUUCUGCGAAGCUACGAAUCGAAGCCCCAGUAAACGGCGGCCGUAACUAUAACGGUCCUAAGGUAGCGAAAUUCCUUGUCGGGUAAGUUCCGACCCGCACGAAAGGCGUAACGAUUUGGGCACUGUCUCAACGAGAGACUCGGUGAAAUCAUAGUACCUGUGAAGAUGCAGGUUACCCGCGACAGGACGGAAAGACCCCGUGGAGCUUUACUGUAGCCUGAUAUUGAAAUUCGGCACAGCUUGUACAGGAUAGGUAGGAGCCUUUGAAACGUGAGCGCUAGCUUACGUGGAGGCGCUGGUGGGAUACUACCCUAGCUGUGUUGGCUUUCUAACCCGCACCACUUAUCGUGGUGGGAGACAGUGUCAGGCGGGCAGUUUGACUGGGGCGGUCGCCUCCUAAAAGGUAACGGAGGCGCUCAAAGGUUCCCUCAGAAUGGUUGGAAAUCAUUCAUAGAGUGUAAAGGCAUAAGGGAGCUUGACUGCGAGACCUACAAGUCGAGCAGGGUCGAAAGACGGACUUAGUGAUCCGGUGGUUCCGCAUGGAAGGGCCAUCGCUCAACGGAUAAAAGCUACCCCGGGGAUAACAGGCUUAUCUCCCCCAAGAGUUCACAUCGACGGGGAGGUUUGGCACCUCGAUGUCGGCUCAUCGCAUCCUGGGGCUGUAGUCGGUCCCAAGGGUUGGGCUGUUCGCCCAUUAAAGCGGUACGCGAGCUGGGUUCAGAACGUCGUGAGACAGUUCGGUCCCUAUCCGUCGUGGGCGUAGGAAAUUUGAGAGGAGCUGUCCUUAGUACGAGAGGACCGGGAUGGACAUACCUCUGGUGUACCAGUUGUCGUGCCAACGGCAUAGCUGGGUAGCUAUGUGUGGACGGGAUAAGUGCUGAAAGCAUCUAAGCAUGAAGCCCCCCUCAAGAUGAGAUUUCCCAACUUCGGUUAUAAGAUCCCUCAAAGAUGAUGAGGUUAAUAGGUUCGAGGUGGAAGCAUGGUGACAUGUGGAGCUGACGAAUACUAAUCGAUCGAAGACUUAAUCAA